GCAAUAGCAAUAACUUAAAUUGUUUAGUUCUACUCUGGCAUAAAAAUUGUAAUUACCAUUUCUUCUAGGAAUGCACCAAAAUGAUGUAAUACAAAACUAGUUCUGCCCUCUAAGACUAUUUUGGUGAAGGUUUGUACAAAUAAGUGUAAGAUGGUUUAGAAAACCUGAAUAUUCUGAUGAAUAUGUGGAAAGGGAAGUGAAACUUCUAGGUCAAGGUGACAGAUGGAUAAACAUGUUUAUCUUCUUCCUCAACUCCCAUUG
rnacentral:lncRNA from 1 species